rnacentral:rRNA from 1 species
UACGUAGGGGGCUAGCGUUGUCCGGAAUCAUUGGGCGUAAAGCGCGUGUAGGCGGUCCGGUAAGUCCGCUGUGAAAGUCGGGGGCUCAACCUUUGAAAGCCGGUGGAUACUGCAGGGCUAGAGUCCGGAAGAGGCGAGUGGAAUUCCUGGUGUAGCGGUGGAAUGCGCAGAUAUCAGGAGGAACACCAAUAGCGAAGGCAGCUCGCUGGGACGGUACUGACGCUAAGGCGCGAAAGCGUGGGGAGCGAACAGA